CACUCGCAAAGAAGCACAAGAAUGCAGAAGCAGCAAAUGGAUGGUUCAGAGGCUGGCGCUGAUGAAGAUAACCAAUAGCCCAAUGGUGCCACCUUUUCCUAAGAAGAGAUGGGGCACAGCCAGCCAGCCACAGUGCAUUACUCUCGUCAGCAACAAUCAUGGUCUUAUCAUAAUCAGAAACCAUUGUGCAGUUAGGAUGAAGCCCCGAAAUGACAAUCAUCUCGCCAUUGUCACACGGUGAAUGGACCAUCAUACCAUCAGAGCAGAAAAGUGGCCCCAAAGCGCUCUCUUAAGUAAUCCUGCUGAAAAGAUUAGGCACCAGCAGGUAAUUUGGUCUUAUCCUUCUCUGGAAAAUUUAGGAGACACUCGAAGUUGAAUAAAUCACCAUGAACAAUUGUAAGAACAAAUCAUCA
rnacentral:lncRNA from 1 species